AGUUGCUCAACUCCUCUGAACUUCAGCUCGAGGGACAGGCGAAGGGCACUGAAUGUAAUGGCAUGUAUGAGCUUCCCUGUGAGUUAUAGAGAAGUGUCAAGUUGGUUGGGACAAUGAGAGUGGACUCAGGUUAGGCGUUAGGUUGAACUCUCCCAUAGCUGUAGGAGAUCUAGGUUAGACCCAGAAGCAUAGUGGAGCUGAGCUAAGAGUCCCAAUUUCAUGACUCAUAAUUACAAGACCGGGCCCAGGAAGUACACUCAGUGGUUUCAAGAACAGUGGGAGGAAUUCCCAGCAUGCUCCUCUGCACGCAGCUUCCGGUUCCUCCUCAAACGUGCCGGAGUCUAUGUCCCGCCCCCUUGAAUUUGUAUGGACCUGCUUGUACCAAAAAGACCUGAUGGAGAUGAUACCUGAAGUGGAGCCCAGAGGGACCCUGCAGUUGGGGUUGUCACUUGGUGGGUAAAGAGCUUUCCUACUUCGUGUGAAGCCCUGAGUUCAGUCCCCAGCACUGCCGACACCAAUAGUCUUCACUACCCCUGGAGAGGUGAAGGCAGGAGAAUUAGAAAUUAAAGGCCAUCCUCAGCUACUAUAUAGGCGGUUCAAGGUCACAGGCCAUCCCUGAGGAAGUCAGAGCAGGAAGUCAAGCAGGAGCAGAAGCAGGAACCAUGGAAGACGGUUGCCAACUGGUUUGCUCAAUCUUCCCCUUCUUAUACAUCCCCAGAUGACUGCCAAGGGGUGGCACCAAGCACGAUGGGUUCAGCCUUCCCACGCUAACCAUCAAUCAAGACAUGGCCACAGGCCCUUCUGAUCUGGACAGUCCCUCAGUUAAGAUUCCUUCAUCUCUUCAUCACUUAGUUGUGUCAAGUUGGCAGUAAAAAACAAACCUGUACAAUUA